rnacentral:rRNA from 1 species
GAUGAACGCUGGCGGCGUGCCUAAUACAUGCCAGUCGAGCGAACGGACGAGAAGCUUGCUUCUCUGAUGUUAGCGGCGGACGGGUGAGUAACACGUGGAUAACCUACCUAUAAGACUGGGAUAACUUCGGGAAACCGGAGCUAAUACCGGAUAAUAUUUUGAACCGCAUGGUUCAAAAGUGAAAGACGGUCUUGCUGUCACUUAUAGAUGGAUACGCGCUGCAUUAGCUAGUUGGUAAGGUAACGGCUUACCAAGGCAACGAUGCAUAGCCGACCUGAGAGGGUGAUCGGCCACACUGGAACUGAGACACGGUCCAGACUCCUACGGGAGGCAGCAGUAGGGAAUCUUCCGCAAUGGGCGAAAGCCUGACGGAGCAACGCCGCGUGAGUGAUGAAGGUCUUCGGAUCGUAAAACUCUGUUAUUAGGGAAGAACAUAUGUGUAAGUAACUGUGCACAUCUUGACGGUACCUAAUCAGAAAGCCACGGCUAACUACGUG